rnacentral:rRNA from 1 species
AGAGUUUGAUCCUGGCUCAGAACGAACGCUGAUGGCGUGCCUCAUACAUGCAAGUCGAGCGGGUAGCAAUACCAGCGGCGGACGGGUGAGUAACGCGUGAACAAUCUGCCUAAAAGUGGGGGAUAACCAUUCCAACGAAUGGCUAAUACCGCAUAGGGUUCGGGGGCGGCAUCGCUCCUUAACGAAAGGCUUCGGCCGCUUUUGGAUGAGUUCGCGUCCCAUUAGCUAGUUGGCGGGGUAACGGCCCACCAAGGCAACGAUGGGUAGCCGGCCUGAGAGGGUGUCCGGCCACAUUGGGACUGAGAUACGGCCCAGACUCCUACGGGAGGCAGCAGUAGGGAAUUUUGCGCAAUGGGGGAAACCCUGACGCAGCAACGCCAUGUGUGGGAUGAAGCAUUUCGGUGUGUAAACCACUGUCGGCAGGGAAUAAAGCCCGCCUUUAGGCGGGGAUGAAUGUACCUGCAGAGGAAGCCCCGGCUAACUUCGUGCCAGCAGCCGCGGUAAUACGAGGGGGGCAAGUGUUGUUCGGAAUUACUGGGCGUAAAGGGAGCGUAGGCGGGCUCUUAAGUUGGAUGUUUAAAACCGGGGCCCAACCCCGGCGUGGCAUCCAAAACUGGGAGUCUUGAAUGGGACAGAGGCCAGUGGAAUUGGAGGUGUAGCGGUGGAAUGCGUAGAGAUCUCCAAGAACACCAGUUGCGAAGGCGGCUGGCUGGGUCCACAUUGACGCUGAGGCUCGAAAGCGUGGGGAGCAAACAGGAUUAGAUACCCUAGUAGUCC